rnacentral:rRNA from 1 species
UGAGCCUGCGUCUGAUUAGCUAGGUUGGUGGGGUAAUGGCCUACCAAGGCGACGACUCAGUAGCCGACCUAGGAGAGGGUGAGUCGGCCACACUGGAACUGAGACACGGUCCAGACUCCUACGGAGGCAGCAGUGGGGGAAUAUUGCACAAUGGGCGAAAGCCUGAUGCAGCAACGCCGCGUGAGCGAUGAAGGUUUUCGGAUCGUAAAGCUCUGUCGCAUGGGAAGAUAAUGACGGUACCAUGUGAGGAAGCCCCGGCUAACUACGUGCCAGCAGCCGCGGUAAUACGUAGGGGGCAAGCGUUAUCCGGAAUUACUGGGCGUAAAGGGUGCGUAGGUGGUCUGCCAAGUUAGAGGUCAAAGGCAACGGCUCAACCGUUGUUCGCCCCUAAAACUGGCGGACUUGAGUUCUGGAGGGGAAAGCGGAAUUCCUAGUGUAGCGGUGAAAUGCGUAGAUAUUAGGAGGAACACCAGUGGCG